UUAAAAAGCUCGUAGUUGGAUUUCGGAGUGGGCCAGUUGGUCCGCCGCAAGGUGUGUUACUGACUGGUUUGCUCUUCUUCGCAAAGACUGCGUGUGCUCUUCAGUGAGUGUGCGUAGGAUUUACGACGUUUACUUUGAAAAAAUUAGAGUGUUCAAAGCAGGCUAUUGCUUGAAUACAUGAGCAUGGAAUAAUGGAAUAGGACUUUGGUCCCAUUUUGUUGGUUUCUAGGGCCGAAGUAAUGAUUAAGAGGGACAAUUGGGGGCAUCCGUAUUUCGUUGUCAGAGGUGAAAUUCUUGGAUUUACGAAAGACGAACAACUGCGAAAGCACUU
rnacentral:rRNA from 1 species